UACGAAGGGUGCAAACGUUGCUCGGAAUUACUGGGCGUAAAGCGCACGUAGGCGGCUUUUCAAGUCCCAUGUGAAAUCCCACGGCUCAACCGUGGAAGUGCAUGGGAAACUGCAGAGCUUGAGUACUUAAGAGGAUCGCGGAAUUCCCGGUGUAGAGGUGAAAUUCGUAGAUAUCGGGAGGAACACCAGUGGCGAAGGCGGCGAUCUGGGAAGAUACUGACGCUGAGGUGCGAAAGCGUGGGGAGCAAACAGG
rnacentral:rRNA from 1 species